rnacentral:lncRNA from 1 species
CAAAGAACAGAGGCAAGCCUCCAGCCAGGAGCUCAUGAAAUCAUGAACUGAGGCCUCAGUGCAAUAGCUCAUGAGGAAAUGAAUUAUUUCAACAGCCAGGGUUGCUCUGAAGACUAAAGCCCUGGGAUCAUUCAUUUUAAAAGAAAAGAACGGUGACUCAUCAUUUCAAGCUUUUCAUUCUGGAAGUUGGAAGUACAAGAUCAGAUUGCCAGCAUCAUCAGGUACUCAUGAGGGCCGUCUUCCAGCUUGCAGACUGCCAACUUCUCAUUGUGUCCUCAGAUUUGAUAUCAAAGUAAUGUCAAGUGCUUCUGACCCACUGCAUUAAACGUGUGCUGAGCAGUUGGUGGUAGAAGACAUUAUUGUGAAGGCUGCUCACCACCAAUUUCAUCACUGUUGCUAACUCCAGCUCAUCUAAUCUCUGCAACAUCUGCUACCAGCACCUUCUCUUGCCUCCUUUUGUGAACAUAGUUUUUUCUUCUGGUUAGAAAAUCAGUUCGAACUUCUUGAGUUUUGUGUUUUAAACUCUUCUCAACUGUUCCGAUGAUUGAUGGAUGGCCCAGAGGCGACCUCUUUAUCUCCAGCAACAUAUUUGGCUGUUGGCCCGGUAGAGAGGUACUCCAGAAGCUUGCUGGUUCAUCAUGCUCUCAUCUUUAACCACAACUAUUUAUCUGACUCCUUCCAUCUCCACAGCACUGUGUGAGGGAUCAGUGAUAAGAGACGGUGAAAGACAUGCGCAAAUGGAUAAAUAAUAAGCAGGAUAUGUAGAAUGACACAACAAUUGAUGAGUAAUUUAGGAGAUCCAAUAACUAAAAAAAAAAAGACUGGGGACAAGUUCAUGGAAAGAGUAAUCAACUAAGCCUUAUAACAUAAAAUUGACAAAUAGAGAAGGCAUGCAAUCCAGUAGAAUAGAGUGCAAAAGAGGUAGAAGACUAAUCGUUUCAAGACAUGUUGAGCCACAACAGCAAUAACAUUGUGACAAAAAACGUCGGUGUAGACUGCAGAAGAUCUUCAAUGACGGAUCAAGCUGUAUAGACUUUUUUUUACCCUCAUAUACUGAAUAGUCAUUUAAGGUAUACAGUGCCAACGUAAGAGAGAAAGGUAAACUUUUUUUAACACAAGUUGUAGGCCUUGGAAAGAAGUUUUCCAGUAACAAGAUAACACGAUAAUGUACUGUGGUUAUAAGCUCAAAGUGGUAUAUUUGAUUCAGUGUUCCCAGAACCACCAAAACCUUGGAACCAUUGUUUAGCUAAAGCUACUAGAACAACAGAAUAACCUACUCUGUGGCAUUGUAAAGUAAAAUUAUACUACACACAAAUACUUGACAUAAAAUACAUUUCCAAACUCAAUUAUUAGGGAUAACAUAAGCACAAAAUGAUGCUUUGCAA